rnacentral:rRNA from 1 species
CCAUUUCGGAGAGGGAGCAUGAGAAACGGCUACCACAUCUAAGGAAGGCAGCAGGCGCGUAAAUUACCCAAUCCUGACUCAGGGAGUAGUGACAAGAAAUAGCAAACCGGGAACCUCAUGGUUUCACGGUAUUGCAAUGAGAACAAUUUAAAACCCUUAGCGAGAAUCAAGUGGAGGACAAGUCUGGUGCCAGCACCCGCGGUAAUUCCAGCUCCACUAGCGUAUAUUAAAGUUGUUGCAGUUAAAAAGCUCGUAGUUGAACCUCUGUCUGGGGCUAGUUUUGGCUUUGGUCAGGCUAGUUCUAGGCAUCCGCCUACAAGACUUAGAGGGCAUUCAGUUGUUCACUAGGAGGAGUAGGCAUUUUACUUUGAAAAAAUUAGAGUGUUUAAGGCAGGCAAUCGCCCGCAUAUAUUAGCAUGGAAUAAUAGAAUAGGACACUUUUCCGUUUCGUUGGUUAUUGGAAUCGUGUAAUGAUUAAUAGGGACAGUUGUGGGCAUUUGUAUUUAAUUGUCAGAGGUGAAAUUCUUGGAUUUAUUAAAGACAAACUAACGCGAAAGCAUUUGCCAAGGAUGUUUUCAUUAAUCAAGAACGAAAGUUAGGGGAUCAAAGACGAUCAGAUACCGUCCUAGUCUUAACUAUAAACUAUUCCGACUCAAUGUUUGACUGGCUUAUAUAACCAGUUGAGCGUUGUAUGAGAAAUCAAAGUCUUUAGGUUCUGGGGGGAGUAUGGUUGCAAAGCUGAAACUUAAAGGAAUUGACGGAAGAGCACAACCAGGAGUGGAUUCUGCGGCUUAAUUUGACUCAACACGGGGAAACUUACCAGGUUAAAACAAUAGUGGGAUUGACAGUUUGAGAGCGCUUUCUUGAUUGGUUGGGUGGUGGUGCAUGGCCGUUCUUAGUUGGUGGAGUGAUUUGUCUGCUUAAUUGCGUUAACGAACGAGACCUUAACCUGCUUACUAGACUGGCGAUCAUCAAUCGUUAGCUCUUCUUAGAGGGACUUUGGUUGUUUUAACUCCAAGGAAGUUUGAGGCAAUAACAGGUCUGUGAUGCCCUUAGAUAUCCUGGGCCGCACGCGUCAUACAAUGACUAGUUCAGAAAGUUUUCUCCUGACCCGAAAGGGGAUGGGUAAUCUUGAUAAUACUAGUCGUGUUAGGGAUCGAUCUUUGCAAUUAUAGAUCUUGAACGAGGAAUUCCUAGUAAGUGCGGUUCAUCGGACCGUACUGAUUACGUCCCUGCUCUUUGUACACACCGCCCGUCGCUUCUACCGAGUGGGUGGUCCGGUGAGAUAAUUGAACUUCGCAGGUAACUGAGAGGGAAGAUUAUCAAACCUAUCCACCUCGAGGAAGAAGAAGUCGUAACAAGGUU